rnacentral:rRNA from 1 species
AACGAACGCUGGCGGCAGGCCUAACACAUGCAAGUCGAGCGCCCUUUCGGGGGAGCGGCGGGCGGGUGAGUAGCGCGUGGGAAUAUGCCCUUCUCUACGGAAUAGCCUCGGGAAACUGAGAGUAAUACCGUAUACGCCCUGUGGGGGAAAGAUUUUUCGGGGAAGGAUUAGCCCGCGUUGGAUUAGGUAGUUGGUGGGGUAAUGGCCUACCAAGCCGACGAUCCAUAGCUGGUUUGAGAGGAUGAUCAGCCACACUGGGACUGAGACACGGCCCAGACUCCGACGGGAGGCAGCAGUGGGGAAUCUUAGACAAGGGGGGCAACCCUGAUCUAGCCAUGCCGCGUGAGUGAGGAAUGCCUUAGGGUUGUAAAGCUCUUUCAGCUGGGAAGAGAAUGACGGUACCAGCAGAAGAAGCCCCGGCUAACUCCGUG